CCCGACCUCACACCAGUAAACAUCUCAGAGAAGAGAAGAGGCGCUGCAAGAGUUUAAACCCUGGACAGACUUGUCACUGCACCUGAACAUCAUAUCCUGGAGAAGCCUUUCCAAAAGAUCCUGGUUUGAUCUUCAUGCCUUUGAAUGUGCCAGCUAUUAAAACCUGGGAGAAAAAACAGAGGAAUGACUAUAUUGUGUGUGACAGCACACAAGGCUAAGAUGUCCAGUCCAGUGAGUUCUUUCCAUUUCCACAUCACCUCUGGGUUAAUGGGCUCUCCUGCACACAGACAGUGCUCAAGAGCAGGGAACUUAUACCUGCCAGAAACCACAGGCAAAGAUGAGGAUUACACCUGGACCAGACAUAUUCAUCUGGAUUCCAAGUCCGGGAUAAGGCCUCAGUCAUUUACUAGCCAGUGCUGAUCAGUCAUAAAUUCAGCCCACUGACCCUUGGAAUGAUGUCACAAACCUGCCGUUCACCGUGAGUCCAAGACCGUAACUACAGUGGCUUUGUUGGGUCAUUUUUGGAGAGCCGGUUGUGCCACUAGUGAAGAAGAUAGUCAUGGCCUCCUCACUCCUGGUGUCCACGCAAACAUGAUCAUCUGACACUCUUCUACAACGCAAACAAAACAUCUGUUCUGUCAGGUUGCCCCAGCCAUGCAUGGCCCUGCGGGAUAGCAGAAGCUUGGUGGAGAUGGAAGGGCAUUCUGAGGCUACUGUGUCCAAGAGUGGGGCCAAAGUUUCAUCUGUGAUUACACACUUGGCCCCAGACGACUGCAGCCGGUGGCGGAUAUCUCGAGCCGUGAGCUGAGAGGUGCCGGGGAUCAGAACCGUACCUGUGUGAGGAAAUGGGCAGGUCUGUAAGACUGUACCUGUUCUGAGACAUGCUACAUUAACCAGCCACCACUCAGGGACUCGGGGUAAAAUGAGGAACACACGAUCCCC